rnacentral:rRNA from 1 species
GACGAACGCUGGCGGCGUGCUUAACACAUGCAAGUCGAACGGUAAGGCCCUUCGGGGUACACGAGUGGCGAACGGGUGAGUAACACGUGGGUGAUCUGCCCUGCACUUCGGGAUAAGCCUGGGAAACUGGGUCUAAUACCGGAUAGGACUCCGGACUGCAUGGUCUGGGGUGGAAAGCUUUUGCGGUGUGGGAUGGGCCUGCGGCCUAUCAGCUUGUUGGUGAGGUGAUGGCCUACCAAGGCGACGACGGGUAGCCGGCCUGAGAGGGUGACCGGCCACACUGGGACUGAGAUACGGCCCAGACUCCUACGGGAGGCAGCAGUGGGGAAUAUUGCACAAUGGGCGCAAGCCUGAUGCAGCGACGCCGCGUGAGGGAUGACGGCCUUCGGGUUGUAAACCUCUUUCAGCAUCGACGAAGCGAAAGUGACGGUAGGUGCAGAAGAAGGACCGGCCAACUACGUGCCAGCAGCCGCCGUAA